UACAGAGGGGGCAAGCGUUAUUCGGAAUUAUUGGGCGUAAAGGCGCGUAGGCGGCCAUUCAAGUGACGGGUGAAAGCCCUCGGCUUAACCGAGGAACUGCCUGUCAGACUGGAUGGCUUGAGACCGGGAGAGGUGAGUGGAAUUCCCAGUGUAGCGGUGAAAUGCGUAGAUAUUGGGAGGAACACCAGUGGCGAAGGCGGCUCACUGGACCGGAACUGACGCUGAGGCGCGAAAGCGUGGGAGCAAACAG
rnacentral:rRNA from 1 species